rnacentral:lncRNA from 1 species
UUAUUUUCAUAAAAAUAUUUUUGUCGUUUUCUCAAUCCGACAAUAAUUCCGUUGUGGGGUCCACCAAUGAUUGUGCCGUCGUACGAAUAUUCCCCGACACAAAGAAUAUUCCCCAACUAAUCGAAUAUAAUAUAACAACUUGCAUACUUUACAAAAUUUAUAAAUAUUACCCACAACUAUAACAUUAUAUUAAAUCCACACCAUAAUAUUUAAAAUUAAAAAAAAUCGAAAAAUUUAAAUAUUUAUUCAUAAAAUCUGGGUCUCACACCCUCGGCCGCUGCUCCUUAGUCUCCAAACGCUUCUACUCCCUCGUUCCUCAGGUUGAAGAUGAUUCUCCUCUUCCUCUUCCUCCUCCUCCUCCUCCUCCUCCUCCUCCUCCACUUCUUCCUCCAAAUCCCAUACCCCCUUUUCCUCCCUCUUCUGAUUAGUCUUCGGCGACACCGUUAAACCCCUCCAAUCUCUCACUCUAGAUCUUUUCAUUUACUCCGCGCCUUUACCAUAGCAAGAAGGAAAUGAUUGAGGACGACCGCCCAGAGAUCUGGGCCAGCCGCUGAGUGAAGGCUCACCCUCAUCGCAUAAUCAUCUUCAUGACUAAACUUUUUUUCUCCCUAUAGAUUGUGUAUGUGUACAUAUACAAACCCAAAUUUUUGGGUUUGAUUAUCAAUUAUGAUUCCAUGAGAAUAAUUGAUUGUAUUUUUAAUUGGGGGUUAUGAGCGGAGGUUGUCGGCGUAUUGAUGGUGAUAGUUAUUUGCUGACGAGUUGAAGUGAUUCACGAUGAUGGUGAAAAAAAGUUUCGCUCGGUGAUGGGGUAGUGGUGGUUGAAAAUUGUUUUUUUUAUAUUUUCUUUACUGGUUUUCGUUUGCUUGAGUGGUGGUGUGAUGGGAGUUGUGUGGACUAUGUGGGUGUGGGCUUGGAUCGUGAUUUUGGUUUAGAUGGUGGUGGUGGUUGUGGUGGUAGUAGUGGUGGUUCUUUGUUCCAAUAGUAUCUGAUGACUAUAUUAUUUGUUUUGAUUUUUUCCACUUAAAUUUGUUAUGUGCUUACUUGUUUGUUUGUUCUUUUACUUUUUUGUCCCUUAAUCUAAUACAAUUGAAAGAAACUUUAUCAAAAAUCUAUUUUUUUUAUUACAC